AACUUUCAGCAACGGAUYUCUUGGCUCUCGSAUCSAUGAAGAACGCAGCGAAAUGCGAUAAGUAAUGKGAAUKGCAGAAUUCAGUGAAUCAUCGAAUCUUUGAACGCACCUUGCGCUCCUUGGUAUUCCGAGGAGCAUGCCUGUUUGAGUGUCMUU
rnacentral:rRNA from 1 species